UACGUAGGGUGCAAGCGUUGUCCGGAAUUAUUGGGCGUAAAGAGCUCGUAGGCGGUCUGUCGCGUCGGCUGUGAAAACCCGCGGCUCAACCUCGGGCCUGCAGUCGAUACGGGCAGACUAGAGUGCGGUAGGGGAGACUGGAAUUCCUGGUGUAGCGGUGAAAUGCGCAGAUAUCAGGAGGAACACCGAUGGCGAAGGCAGGUCUCUGGGCAUUAACUGACGCUGAGGAGCGAAGGCAUGGGGAGCGAACAGG
rnacentral:rRNA from 1 species